UACGUAGGGGGCAAGCGUUAUCCGGAUUUACUGGGUGUAAAGGGAGCGUAGACGGUGUGGCAAGCCAGAUGUGAAAGCCCGGGGCUCAACCCCGGGACUGCAUUUGGAACUGUCAGACUGGAGUGUCGGAGAGGCAGGCGGAAUUCCUAGUGUAGCGGUGAAAUGCGUAGAUAUUAGGAGGAACACCAGUGGCGAAGGCGGCCUGCUGGACGAUGACUGACGUUGAGGCUCGAAGGUGCGGGUAUCGA
rnacentral:rRNA from 1 species